AGUGAACGCUGGCGGUAGGCCUAACACAUGCAAGUCGAACGGCAGCACAGUAAGAGCUUGCUCUUACGGGUGGCGAGUGGCGGACGGGUGAGGAAUACAUCGGAAUCUACUUUUUCGUGGGGGAUAACGUAGGGAAACUUACGCUAACACCGCAUACGACCUACGGGUGAAAGCAGGGGAUCUUCGGACCUUGCGCGAUUGAAUGAGCCGAUGUCGGAUUAGCUAGUUGGCGGGGUAAAGGCCCACCAAGGCGACGAUCCGUAGCUGGUCUGAGAGGAUGAUCAGCCACACUGGAACUGAGACACGGUCCAGACUCCUACGGGAGGCAGCAGUGGGGAAUAUUGGACAAUGGGCACAAGCCUGAUCCAGCCAUACCGCGUGGGUGAAGAAGGCCUUCGGGUUGUAAAGCCCUUUUGUUGGGAAAGAAAAGCAGCAGGUUAAUACCCCGCUGUUCUGACGGUACCCAAAGAAUAAGCACCGGCUAACUUCGUG
rnacentral:rRNA from 1 species